AACGCACAUUGCACCCGGUGGUAUUCCGCCGGGUAUGCCUGUUCGAGCGUCAUUUCAACCCUCAGGCCCUCCCUCUUGACAGUUGGAGGGCUUGGUGUUGGGGAUCUACGGGGUCCGCCUUUUUGGUGGCACGUAGUCCCUUAAAUGAAUCGGCGUACGCGCUGUACGUUGCCCCCUACGUAGUAGUUAUUUUCUCGUAUCGGGUCGUAGCGCUGUCCAGCCGCUAAACUGCAAAUAUGCAUUUUAGCUAGGUUUGACCUCGAAUCAGGUAGGGUUACCCGCUGAACUUAA
rnacentral:misc_RNA from 1 species